AUGCCUUGCCUUGCAUUGCCUGGAAUUCCCUUGCCUUGCAUUGCCUUGCCUUGCCUGGAAUUGUCUGACCUAGAAUUGCCUUGCCUUGCCUUACUUUGCCUUGCCUGGAAUUGUUUUUCCUUGCCUUUUCUGGAAUUAUCUUGCCUGGAAUUGCCUUGCCUUGUCUUGCCUGGAAAUGUCUUGGCUGGAAUUGCCCUUUUUUUGCCUUGCCUUGCCUUGCCUCGAAUUGCCUUGUUUGGAAUUUCCCUGCCUUGCCUUGCCUCAAAUUGUCUUUCCUGGAAUUACCCUGCUUUACCUUGCCUUACCUCAAAUUACCUUGCCUGGAAUUGGCCUGCCUUGCCUAGCCUGGAAUUGCCCUGUCUGGAAUUACCUUGGCUUGGCUUGGCUUGCCUUGCCUUGCCUGGAAUUGCCGUGCCUGGAAUUGCCUUAACUUGCCUUGCCUGCCAUGCCUGGAUUUGCCUUGCUUGCAAUUGCCUUGCCCAGUUUUGCCUGAAAUUUACUUGCCUGGAAUUGCCUUGCAUUGACUUGUCUUGCCAGAAAUUUUCUUGCCUUUCCUUUCCUUGCAUGCCCUUGCAUUGCCUUUUCUUUCCUUGCCUUGCCUUGCCUUGGAUUGCCUUGCCUGGAAUUGGCUUGCCUUGCCUGGAAUUGCCUUGCCUUGCCUGGAAUUGUCUUGCCUUGCCUUUCCUGGAAUGGUCUUUACUGGAAUUGCCCUGCCUUGCCCUGCCUGGAGUUGCCUUGCCUGGAAUUACCUUGUCUUGUCUUGCUUCACUGGAAUUUUUUUGCAUUGAAUUGCCUUGCCUUGCUGUGCCUUGCCUUGCCUUGCCUUGCUUUGCCUGGAAUUUUCUUGCCUUGCCUUGCCUUUCCUUGCAUGGAAUUGCCUUGAGUUGCCUUUCCUUGCCUGGAAUUUUCUUGUCUGGAUUUUUUUUGCCUUGCCUUGCCUUGCAUUACCUGGAAUUGCCUUGCCUGAAAUUGCCUUGCCUUGCCUUGCCUUACCUGGAAUUGCCUUCCCUUGCCUUUUCUGGAGUUCCCUUUCCUAGAAUUGCCUUGCCUUGCACUCCUCUCUGGUUGUGGACCUGGUGA
rnacentral:lncRNA from 13 species